rnacentral:sRNA from 2 species
CAGGUGGAUUAGUCCAUUCACUGGCAGAAGCGGGGGAACCACCAUCGGCCGUCGAAAGACGGCCUUGGGGUGAAGUCCGCAGCAGAAGCACACAUUGCGCAGGGUCCUCCUCGGAGUAGCCCUGCGCUUCGCGUCCUUCGUGCGGACCGGGUCCACGAUCUCUCUGGCCCGAAUCCGACAGCUAACUUCGCAGGCUUGCCAGAGAGGAAAA